UAUGGGCGAUUUAAAAUGGAACUACAUAUCAAUUCAGAAUCAGUAUUAUACAACACGUUUAAUAUACGCUACCAUAUACAUUAAUAUCACAAUUUAUUGGCUCUUAAUAAUCUCUUAUCUUCCAUUCAUUUGAAAGAAAACAACAAUACAUUGUAAAAGACCCAUAACUGAUACUGCAACAAUACCAAAUAUAGCUACUAAAUAAUUACGUAUCAUCUGAAAAUAGUUUUGUCUUGUUGCAAUUCCAUACACACUUUAAGAAAUGUAUCCUCCAAUGAUAAAAAUCCGAUAGACCCAUCCGUUCAGUGUAUGUUUCUCAAUAGACGGCAGAAGAAAUUUUCAGUGUAGCUGCCAUCGAUUGUUGUUGACAAAACUUUUAGUCCACUCGAACCAAAUUAAACCGUGAAUGUUUUUAAUCAAUUUGUUUCUUGAGCUUGUUUCUACUCCUGGAAAAAACAUAGCUCCCAAAAGUUACAAUGAAAAUAGCCGUUGCAGUUCAACGUUUUAUAUUUCAAUCUCAUUGUAUUCGGAAAUGGAAUUGGUCGAUUUCGUAUUCUUCCUGGAUGAGGCUUCCGGAUAACUAGCUGAAAGGCAAAGGCAUUCAAACGGAGUUCUUCAUGAAGGUUACCCAACUAACAUUUAAUGUCAAUGUAAAUGUUAUUUCAACUCGUCUAUACGGCUUCAAGCUGAAUAUGUGUGCUAUACAUAUGAUCAAGAACUUCUAUUCAAUGCUUUUACCAGCAAAUCUGGCGAAUCUAUUCAGCUGUUUUUGACGUGCCUGCACAACUACUUCACAGGAUGUUACACAUUUUUUUCUCAAUCUUUACUAAACCAUUUAGUAAUAUAAUUCGCUUCAAUGGCGCUUAUUCAGAUUUUUUGAAUCUGUUAAAUAAGUUUUAUACAGCCACUGAAUUCAAUUUGAUUAAAUAUUAUUUGAGAGGAGAGUAAAUUCCGGAGUUUAUUUAAUGUUUUUUUUUGUGAAAACUUAAAUAUCAAUUUUGUUGCUACCUAGAUUCGAACUCCUGAUCUCCUGAUUCAAUGGCCGCUGCUCUGUCAUCACCGUCACUUUGACAUAUGUAAAUAACAAAGAAAAUUAUGGAUGUGCUUCUUCGCAUACCCUAUAGGUUAUUUUGCUAACGCAAUUUUCGGAUUCAUGCUGUAUAAACGUUAGGAAGAGGCCUAUAUGCUGCUUUUAGCACAUAAGCUUAAAAAUUAUGCUUUCAGCAUUAUUUCAACCACUAUUCAAACAUCUAUCAGCAUGUUCUGUUGGCUAACUUUUAUGCAUCAUCAAUCGCUGAAAUUGUUUUUAGGCAACAUUUUCUCGAUCUGUAUAGAUGCUACUCUGCUGCUAAUCGUUUAACAGUAGCCGUGAACAGCAAUAUCGCUUCUAAAUGGCUUGUUUUCUUACACUAUCUGCUAGCAUUAAUGACAGCGCUUUGUCAGUUGCUAUAAGAGCAGGUGAAUACCUUUGUAGCGUAAUUACAGAAAUCAAUAGCUCAUACACAGCUCCGGCAACAAAAAUCAAAUGUAAACAUUGCGGUUUUGACGUUCCAUGCUGAUAAGCUAUAUAAAGAAGCAGUAUAAGGUUUACUUAAACGUUGUGUAAUCUUCAAAGAUACAGAAGUUGCCUAAAAGCUUCGUUAGUUCAUUUAUAGCGCCAUUACGCUAUAUUGUUAGUGCUAUAACAACAGCGAAAACGUUUUCAUUGUGAAUGCUAGUCACCGUAAUAUGGGAAGUUGCUAACAAGCAACUCAGCUACAUACAUGAGCUCUUAACCGAUAAGCUUUGUUGCUAAUUCAGACAGAGCUGUUUUAUGACUAAAUGAAAGCUGCAUAAACGAUAAAAGAUGAAAUAUAUUCGGCACAAACUGACUAGCUGAUAAAUAUUUGGGUAAUAGUCGAGUUGAAGUUUAGGGGAUUAUUCGCGAAGGUUUUUCUUUUAGACAGCAUUGGCUGCUUUUAUUAAAAUAUUAUACAGCCAAAGGCUAGAAGUUUUAGCUUUUAGCACCAAAAUUGUU